rnacentral:rRNA from 1 species
UACGAAGGGGGCUAGCGUUGCUCGGAAUCACUGGGCGUAAAGCGCACGUAGGCGGGUACUUAAGUCAGGGGUGAAAUCCCGGAGCUCAACUCCGGAACUGCCUUUGAUACUGGGGAUCUUGAGUCCGGAAGAGGUGAGUGGAACUCCGAGUGUAGAGGUGAAAUUCGUAGAUAUUCGGAAGAACACCAGUGGCGAAGGCGGCUCACUGGUCCGGUACUGACGCUGAGGUGCGAAAGCGUGGGGAGCAAACAGG